rnacentral:rRNA from 1 species
UUGAGCGAUUUACUUCGGUAAAGAGCGGCGGACGGGUGAGUAACGCGUGGGUAACCUACCCUGUACACACGGAUAACAUACCGAAAGGUAUGCUAAUACGGGAUAAUAUAUUUGAGAGGCAUCUCUUGAAUAUCAAAGGUGAGCCAGUACAGGAUGGACCCGCGUCUGAUUAGCUAGUUGGUAAGGUAACGGCUUACCAAGGCGACGAU